GCUCAUGGCCAUACCACCCUGAACAUGACUGAUCUCGUCAGAUCUCAGAAGCUAAGCGGGGUCAGGCCUGGUUAGUACUUGGAUGGCAGAAAAUGUGUUUCAAUGAUUU
rnacentral:rRNA from 1 species